rnacentral:rRNA from 1 species
CAGGCCUAACACAUGCAAGUCGAACGAAGGCUUCGGCCUUAGUGGCGCACGGGUGCGUAACGCGUGGGAAUCUGCCCUUGGGUUCGGAAUAACAGCGAGAAAUUGCUGCUAAUACCGGAUGAUGACGUAAGUCCAAAGAUUUAUCGCCCAAGGAUGAGCCCGCGUAGGAUUAGCUAGUUGGUGGGGUAAAGGCCCACCAAGGCGACGAUCCUUAGCUGGUCUGAGAGGAUGAUCAGCCACACUGGGACUGAGACACGGCCCAGACUCCUACGGGAGGCAGCAGUGGGGAAUAUUGGACAAUGGGCGAAAGCCUGAUCCAGCAAUGCCGCGUGAGUGAUGAAGGCCUUAGGGUUGUAAAGCUCUUUUACCCGGGAUGAUAAUGACAGUACCGGGAGAAUAAGCUCCGGCUAACUCCGUGCCAGCAGCCGCGGUAAU